CAGUAGCCGCGGUAAUACAGAGGGUGCAAGCGUUAAUCGGAAUUACUGGGCGUAAAGCGCGCGUAGGUGGUUUGUUAAGUUGGAUAUGAAAUCCCCGGGCUCAACCUGGGAACUGCAUCCAAAACUGGCAGGCUAGAGUAGGGCAGAGGGUGGUGGAAUUUCCUGUGUAGCGGUGAAAUGCGUAGAUAUAGGAAGGAACACCAGUGGCGAAGGCGACCACCUGGGCUCAUACUGACACUGAGGUGCGAAAGCGUGGGGAGCAAACAGGAUUAGAUACCCCGGUAGUCCCUGUCUCUUAUAC
rnacentral:rRNA from 1 species